CCUACGGGAGGCAGCAGUGAGGAAUAUUGGUCAAUGGGCGCGAGCCUGAACCAGCCAAGUAGCGUGAAGGAUGACUGCCCUACGGGUUGUAAACUUCUUUUAUAAAGGAAUAAAGUGAGGCACGUGUGCCUUUUUGUAUGUACUUUAUAAAUAAGGCUCGGCUAACUCCGUGCCAGCAGCCGCGGUAAGACGGAGGAUCCGGGCGUUAGCCGGAUUUAUUGGGUUUAAAGGGAGCGUAGAUGGGUUGUUAAGUCAGUUGUGAAAGUUUGCGGCUCAACCGUAAAAUUGCAAUUGAUACUGGCAGUCUGGAGUACAGGAGAGGUAGGCGGAAUUCGUGGUGUAGCGGUGAAAUGCUUAGAGAUCACGAAGAACUCCGAUUGCGAAGGCAGCUUACUAGACCGCAACUGACAUUGAUGCGCGAAAGUGUGGGUAUCAAACAGGAUUAGAUACCCUUGUAGUC
rnacentral:rRNA from 1 species